UACGUAGGGUGCGAGCGUUAAUCGGAAUUACAGGGCGUAAAGCGUGCGCAGGCGGUGAGCUGUGUCCGAUGUGAAAGCCCCGGGCUUAACCUGGGAAUGGCAUUGGAAACUGGCUCGCUGGAGUGUGGCAGAGGGGGGUGGAAUUCCGCGUGUAGCAGUGAAAUGCGUAGAGAUGCGGAGGAACACCGAUGGCGAAGGCAGCCCCCUGGGCUAACACUGACGCUCAGGCACGAAAGCGUGGGGAGCAAACAGG
rnacentral:rRNA from 1 species